rnacentral:lncRNA from 1 species
AAAAAUUUGGUCAAAGAACCAACGACCUUUUACAUAUCACAGAGAAGGUCUCUAUAGUCAGUUAACGACCCUCAGCUUUUGACCUUCUGUUUUUGGUCACAAAAAGGUCGCAAAUGAAAAACUAUGACCUUUCAGCGACCAAUAGUGAGGGUCACAAGUUGACAUAUUUCUUGUAGUGAAAUGUCAAGUACUUUCGUGUAUUUGGGUGCAAAUGUUUCAUCCUCAACAAAAGAGAACGGUUAGGAAAAAUUUAAUCCAAAACAAUUGAGGGUAUAUUUGUUGGCUAUGGAUCAAACUCUCACGCCUAUAGAGUCUACAACAAAUCCAAUGGAUGUGUUGUAGAAACUUCUGACAUGGUGUUUGAUGAAUUUAAUGGCUCCCAUGUGGAGCAAGUUGAUCUAAGUGAUGUAGGUGAAGAAGAUUCCUCUCAAGACAUUUUGACCAUGGGUGUUGGUGCACUUCUUCCUAUGGAACAAGAACCUCAUGAUGAUGAAGAAGAUGGAAGUCUCACACAUCAUCAAACUACUUCAACAUCCAUAUCACCACAAGCUCCUAUUGUUCAACCAAUACCCUUAGCCCAAGUUGAAGAGGAUAAUCAAGUUCCUCUUCAUGAUAAUCUUCAAGAACAAGAUCAUCAUCCAGUGCAAGAACAAGAAAGUCCAAUCAUUGAUGAUGAACCUCAACUAAUGCAAUAUGAACAAGAAGAUCUUCCUCCACACAUUAAUGAUCCAUAUGUUGAGGAUGUGGAUGAUGGACAUGAAGUUGAACCUCGUGAAACCCUUACCUCCAUCGUGCCUCGAGUGGCCGGUCGUGUUGAUGUUGACAAAAUUCUCACUGGCAUAUCGGAAGGUAGAGUAACUCGUAAACAUUUGACAAACUUUUGUGCUCACUUCUCAUUUGUGUCUAGUAUUGAGCCCCUCAAGGUACAAGAUGCAUUGAUGGACAAUGAUUGGCUAGUUGCUAUGCAAGAAUAGUUGAACAGUUUUGAACGCAACCAAGUGUGGUCAUUAGUGAAGAGGCCAUCUACUAAGCACAACGUCAUUGGAACAAAAUGGAUUUUCAAGAACAAGCAAGAUGAAAAUGGUGUAAUCAUCCGUAACAAGGCAAGGUUAGUGGCACAAGGGUACUCACAAGUUGAAGGUUUGGACUUUGGUGAGACCUUUGCCCCCGUUGCCCAUCUUGAAUCCAUUCGCAUCUUACUUGCUUAUGCCGCUUUCAAUGGUUUUACAUUACAUCAAAUGGAUGUGAAGAGUGUUUUCCUUAACGGUCCUCUACAAGAAGAAGUAUAUGUGUCACAACCACCCGGGUUUGUUGAUCCCUUUCACAAAGAGUAUGUGUAUAAACUUCAUAAGGCUUUGUAUGGCCUCAAACAAGCACCUCGUGCUUGGUAUGAUCAUUUUAAGAAGUUUUUACUCGAUGAUGGUUUUGUGAGAGGGGUGAUUGAUCCCACUCUUUUUACUAAGAGGGACAAGGGUGAUUUGAUCCUAUGCCAAAUCUAUGUAGAUGACAUCAUUUUUGGUUCUCCUAACAUUCAUUUGUGCAAGAAGUUUGCGGCUUCAAUGACCAAGAAUUUUGAAAUGUCACUCAAUACGGAUUUGAAGUUCUUUCUCGGAUUUCAAAUUCAAAAAUUUCAAGAAGGACUUUUCUUAUCUCAAGCAAAGUACAUCAAGGAUAUCCUAGAGAAGUUUGGCAUGUCUGAUGCUUGUCCAUGCAAGACACCCAUGCCAACCAAAAUUGCUCUCACUGAAGACACAAAUGGUACUCCUUUUGACCCAUCUACUUUCCGCUGUAUGAUUGGUUCAUUGCUUUAUCUUUGUGCAUCUAGACCAGACAUCAUGUUCAGUGUAUGCAUGUGUGCUAGAUUUCAAUCUUUCCCUAUGGAAAGUCAUCAUAAGGCGGUUAAGCAUAUUCUUAGAUACCUUGUUCACACCCCAAAGUUGGGCCUCUGGUACCCCAAGGAUGCUAAGUUCGAUCUCAUUGGGUACACGGAUGCCGAUUGGGCUGGAGACAAAGUGGAUCGUAAGUCCACAUCCGGUGCAUGUCAGUUUCUUGGAUGACCCUUGGUAAGUUGGUCCUCGAAGAAACAAAAUUGUAUUGCCCUCUCUAACGCUGAAGCUGAAUACAUUGCUGCUGCCAGUUGUGCAACUCAGUUGUUAUGGAUGAGGCAAACUUUGAAGGAUUACGGUAUCACCUAUAGACAUGUGCCUCUUCUAUGUGAUAAUGAAAGUGCCAUCAACAUUGCUGAGAACCCUAAAGAUCAUCUCCGCACCAAACACAUUGAUAUUAGGUAUCAUUUCUUGAGAGAUCAUGUUGAAAAGGGAGAUAUUCACAUUGAUCACAUUGGUACAGAUUUGCAACUGGCAGAUAUCUUCACCAAACCUUUAGAUGAAGCAAGGUUUUGUCGACUUAGGAGUGAACUUGGUAUCUUGGAGCUUGACAAUAUUAUGUGAAAUCUAGUACCCAUUCAUGCAUGAAUCUAAUGUCUGGUGAUGAUGUAGGCAUAUAUUUAGGGGGAGGCGUUCAAUUCAUGAAUGUUCUCACCCUACAUAAUGCAUAAAAAGAACCAACACUCUCAAAGCUACCUUAGUUCUCGAACUAUGGUGCUUUAACAUGAUGGAGUCGUGACUAUAUGCCCACAACCUACAUCUUUGCAGCACCAUGUUACAUAUGCUCAAACAUGGUGACCUCGGUCAUCGCGUGUACCUUACAUAUGUGAACCUCUCGUUUUUAUGUUGUUGUUAGGAAUGCUAUUUCAUCUUAGUAUGGCCUUAGAAUUACUCAUGGAGUCACCUUUAUAAAUUCUCUCCAAAACUCCUUGGCGGAGUCUAUAUCAAAUCACAUCAAUUAUCUCCUUUCCAAUCUCUCUCUAGCCUAGAUCUGCUGUCCAGUGGCCGGACAUCCGGCUCCUUCGCCGGACAUCUGGGCCCUGGAGCACUGCCGGACAUCCGGGCUUUAGGCAGACAUCCGGGCCCUGAUCCUAUAGCAGUCGGUCCCUCACACACCGGAUAUCCGGCCUCCUUCCCGGAUGUCCAGCCCGUUGUCCCCUUUUGACUUGCUCUCUAACCCUUGCUCGUCGGAUAUCCGGGCUAGGCCCCGGAUAUCCGGUCCAUACCCGCGGCCACACAUAUCUGGGGAGGGGCUCGGGCGUUUGGGGCAUCUUUCCUCAUUCACUCCCGUUCCUCUUCGCCAACGCUCACACAGCCGCCGCCGCCGGGAUGCCACUCCGGUGCUGCCCCGGCCCUAUUCUCCGAGCUCCGGCCCCGAUCUCCUGCUCACGGCCUCUCUUCCUCCCGAUCUAUGAUUCUAUCCAAUCCAUUUCUUGGGUUGGGUUGUGAAUUCCUCGUGAGGGACCUGUGUUGUGUGGGAGUAACGACCGGAGUUCAUCAUGGCAAGGACCAAGAACUGCGGCCCCGAUCGUCCCGAGCCCUCUUCUAGGGGUAUGCAUGCUAUCUAUCCUCCAUUCCGCUUCUAUGGUGACCACAAGGUCUUAGGGCAUCACUUUUGGUCCCUUGAGUGUUGGUGUCUCUUGCCUAUGCCUAAAACAUCUGUCAAUGAACUUGGCUGCUCAAAUUUAAAUCAUGGACAUGUCUCUUUUUGAUAUACCACUGAACUUAUUCUUUUGUCAUGCUCAAAAUGGUCAUCCCAUUGUUUAAAAUUGUUUUAUCAUCCUUAUUCGUACCAUAUCAUCGGGAUCUCUCAUCCAUUCCAGUUGUCCGCCGGCUAGGCUCAACCGACUCCGAUGAGCAUGCUUGGCCUAAGAAGAAGAAGGCCACCACCGUUAAGAAGAAGAAGCGGGCACCAUACAAUAGUCCAUCGGCCUCGGAUCCAGAUGAUGCGGACUAUGUUGGGGAGGAUGAGGAGGUCUGUGCACCAAGACACUCCGUUGGACAGUCCAAGCCCGGUACUAGGAGGGCCCUGGUGCCUCAUGUCAGCGGGUCUGCAAUGCCCGUUGCUCAUGGCCGUCACAUCUCCAUGGAGCUUCCUGACAACGGGGAUCGUGCUCCUCACAACUUCAAAAUUGUAGGGGUAGCUCAAUAUCUUGUGUUUCAUCGGGAUGUCAAUCAAUAUGAGAUGGUGGCUGAUGCGGAGGAUCCUCGGUUCCGGACUCAUAUGCAGCAGGAUCUCUAUUCCAGUUUCGUCCGUGGGCGUGGACUUGCUCCUCACUCAUACUUGGAUCUCAACUUUCUACGUGAGAAUCCUGACAUGUUUGCAAACGAUCCGGUCCAGAUCAUUGAUGAUAUCACUCUCGGUCCCGCAAUGACCUUCAGGUGUGAUUGAUAUGAAGCUGCAAUUCUAUAGUUCUAUGCCACCUGUUUCUUUGGUCCGGACAACACUCUCACUUGGAGGACUGAUAACACCACUCUGAGCAUCACAUAUGACAGGUUUGCUCAGAUUUUAGGUCUCUCUAGUGUUGGCCAUCGCAUCCACAGUAUGGAUCCAGAGAGCAAGCCCAAAGCGAUUGAUGCUUGCUUACCACUUAUCAAACCUACCUCUCAGCUCACUAAAGAAGAACUUGCAUAUCCACUCAAUGAGGUAUCUAUCUUCCAUGCUCCUUACUACAUCCUCUAUCAGUGUGUGCUUUGCACUCUCUAUCCUAAGAAGGGAGAUUGCUCACGGGCCUACAACUAUUGCAUUGACUUGAUGGUUCUUAUGCAUGACAAACACAAUGAGCCUCUGGACACAGCCCAUUUCAUUUGGCAUGAGAUCCGUCUUUGCAAUUUCAUUCAGUCACGCCAGUUUCCUCAUGCUCCAUUCAUUCAGGCUUUGACUCAUCAUACUGCUCCAUUUGAGGUGGUCAAGACUACUGUUCACUCUUGUUGGAAGCCUGCACCUCAUAUGCGUGUGGUGGCUGCUGCUCCGCCUACUGCCCCUUCACAGUCUAGGAGGUCUGUUGGAGGGACUCAGCCCACUGGUUCCUCUAUUCCAUCUUCCUCGACAGCUCCCUGUGGUCGCUUAGCGAUGUUCAUCAGCAAGGCUCAAUCUGCCAUCAUGAGGUCCAUCACUUUUAGCUGUCAGCAGAAUCAUGAUGUCCAGAAGCGCCUCAUCCUCUCCAAGAAUCAGCUCAAGCAGCGCCUCUGUAACCGUGGGAGUCCCGUGAGUGACGAUGAUCCUAUUCCUGCGGCUCCGUCCACCUCUACGUUCGGCUUCCCCUCUCGUGACAAUUAUCCAGAGUUCUUUGAUGAUCUUGAUGACAUCCGCCAGGAGUAUUACUUGGUAUGUUGACCUUGGUAUGUUGCUUGUGUUAGCCCUACUAUAAUUCGAACUUGGUAUGUUGAACUUGGUAUGUUGCUACCUAUGUUAUCGUAUUAUCUUGAUCAUGUGAGUCUAUAUUGAUUACCUUGUGGCUAUGGAAUUUUUGUUUCCUUAUCCAUGUGUUAUUAUUGUUUCCUAUGUGCAUGCCAAAUACAUAUAUAUCUUCUGGAGAUACACAUGCUUCCUAAUAUAUUCAUUGCAUGCUCACAAUGAGGGGGAGCCAAAUACAAAUAGAAACAUCCACAUACUUUGUAUUCUUGCUCUCAUAUUUGUCAAUGCUGACUAUUUAUUACAACUGUGAUACUACAUGUGUGAUUGUCGUCAACAAACAAAAACGGGGAGAUUGAAAGAGCAAUCAUGCUCUUACAUGAAGUUUUUUAUGUUGAUGACAAUAUACAUGUAGGGGACUAACAAUGGUUGUUAAGUAAAUCUCAGGUGUUACUCCCUGGUUUCAUCGACGUGUGUGGAUCAAGAGCAUACAAAGUAAUUUUGCUCAAGGAUGAAGUAUCAAAAGUGAUUUCAUAUUUAUUUCCUUGAGUAUAGGAUCCCGCACUAUUAAGAGGGGAUCGAUAGGGUUAGCUUAAGACUUGCUCAUUUCAAUAACAACCGUUCAAAACUAGGCUACUGUUCCAACUUUAUGUCCUUUGAUAAGGUUCUGUCUCUGGCAUACCGGAUGUCCGGGCUUGACCCCGGAUGUCCGGGCUCAUGGCGAAUAUCCGGCCUACAGGCCGGAUUUUCGGGCCUAGCUAUCCUGAAUGCAUUUUUGCUGGUAUCACCUACCGGAUGUCCGGCCCUCUAUGUCGAAUGUCCGGGCCCUCAUGCCGCGCCAGAUGUCCGGGCCUUAUCCCGGAUGUCCGGCCCCUUCUACCAUAGAACAACGGGGUUUCUGUAACCACCCACUACUAGGAAAAGGGUUAUAGAUAGGAUUGAUACUAAUGGCGCACCAGGCAAGCAGUGCGCCACUACUAUAUUCUAAUGGCGCACCGGUUGGUGGUGCACCAUUAGUCUGGAAGACACUAAUGGCGCACCAGGUACAUGGUGCGCCACUAGUAUUGAUUUUUUUCCAUUUUUCCAUACACUCUAAUGGCGCAUGAUGCAAAAGUGCGCCAUUACUAGUUAGAACUAGUAAUGGCGCACCACCCAUACAGUGCGCCAUUAGUAUAUUUUUUUUCUUUUUUGCAAACCUACUAAUGGCGCACCGUGUCGAAGUGCGCCAUUACUAGUUUAAACUACUAAUGGUGCACUUUUCCCACAGUGCGCCAUUAGAAUACAUAUGUUUUUUUACUAUUCUGCAAAAACUGCUAAUGGCGCACCACCCGCAGGUGCGCCAUUAGUAACCAGGGUUACUAAUGGUGCAUUUGCUGCUUGUGCGCCAUUAGUAACCUGGGACCAACAAGAUAUUUUGGACAGCCAACCUACCCACUCACUUUCCCCACUUCAUUCUCUCCACCUCCUCCUCCAAGCUUGUCUCGGCUGCCUCCUCCUCCUCACCUCAUUUCCACCAUAGAUUCAUCAAAAUUAAGUGGUGAAAUUACCUUUUUUUGAUAGGUAAGUAAGGGGAAAGCUAUCUUCAUGAUGUAGAUCUACUGUUUUUCUCCCUAGCUCGCUCCAACAACGUGCACGUGCACUUUUUGUGGCCUAGCUAGAUCUAUGUAUGUUUGUGGUGUUUCUUGUGUUUGUGGUGUUGCAUAUAUGUUUGUGUUUGCAGGUACCCGUAUUUGAAAUGCAAUAGUUGCCAAUAUUUUGCCGGAAUGUUGAUUCAUUUCCGUUUCGGCGAGAAUUUUGGCACUAUGCAUUCUUUUUGGUCCUAUUUUUAGGGAAGGUCAUGCCAAAUUUUUUCUUGGUUCUAAAAUAUCAUUUUGCUCUACCCCGCAGGCGACCAUGGUCCGCACGAUGACCGAAGGCAUCGUGAAUAGGUUUCCCCACUGCCCACUGCCGGGAAAGAAGCAAAAGGCGCUAGAGCCGGGAAAGAAGCGAAAGGCGCCAGAGCCACUACUGAAGGUAUGGCAAACGAGGUCUGUUUUCUGGGACUUGCCGUACUGGAAGAUCCACUGUGUGCCUCACAGCCUUGAUGUCAUGUAUAUCACGAAGAACGUGUGCGAGAGUCUGCUUGGUACCUUGCUCAACAUGCCAGAGAGGACCAAAGAUGGGCCGAAAGCAAGGGCAGACUUGAAAUCAAUGGGCAUCAGGCAGGAGCUUCACGCUAAUGAUGAUGAUGAUGAGGCGAAGCAGGACACAGAAAGUCGCCAAGAAGACCGGAAAUGACUACCCUCCCGCGUGCUUCACUCUAAGUCAGGAGGAGAUCGAGUAGUUUUUCACCUGCCUCCUAGGAGUAAAACUUCCUUACGGUUAUGCGGGGAAGAUAAGCAGAUACCUAGACCCAGUGAAGCAGAUGUUCCGCGGCAUGAAGUCUCACGACUGUCACAUGCUGAUGACGCAGAUACUUCCAGUUGCAAUCCGUGGGAUCAUGGACGCGCAUGUCCAUGAAACGCUAUUUGGCCUAUGCAACUUUUUCGACGUCAUCUCUCAGAAGUCCAUUGGCGUGAGGCAACUCGGAAGGCUACAGGAAGAGAUCAUGGUGACACUAUGCGAGCUUGAGAUGUACUUCCCGCCUGCAUUCUUCGAUGUUAUGGUCCAUCUGCUGGUCCAUAUCGUGGAGGAUAUCAUCCAACUCGGGCCAACGUUCCUGCACAGCAUGAUGCCGUUCGAAAGGAUGAAUGGUGUCAUCAAAGGAUACGUUCGAAACAUGUCACAUCCAGAGGGAAGUAUAGCCAGGGGCUUUCUGACCGAAGAGUGCAUCUCCUACUGCAUGAAUUAUCUAGGCAUGGAGAACCCCGUUGGUCUGCCCGUCAACAGGCACCUCGGCAGGCUCGCUGGAUGGGGUCACCAUGAGGGUCGCCGCGAAAUGCAUGUCGACUUCGAGGGUCGACUCGCCGACUUUGAAAGAGCAAACCUAGUCGCGCUACAACACAUAGACGUGGUCGAUCCUUGGGUGGUAGAGCACAAAAUCUUUAUUGAGAAGACGUACAAUGACCGAGACCAACAGAGGACGGACGGAGAUAUAAUCAAAGAGCACAACUCAUGUUUCAUGCGUUGGUUCAAGCAGAAGCUUCUGUCGUACCCUUUACACGAGGAUUCUUCCGCGGAAGAACAACUCAUAUUCGCCUUGUCACAGGGCGCCGAGCACAACCUGAUGACCUAUGAGGCGUACGAUAUCAACGGCUACACAUUCUACACCGAGGACAAGGACAUGAAGAGCGCUGGUUAUCAGAACUCCGGGGUAACGAUGGAAUCUUACACCGGCAACGACAAGGACGGAUACUACGAAAGGAUCGAGGAGAUCUGGGAGCUGAGCUAUGCUGGAGAGAAUGUCCCGAUGUUCCGUGUCAGAUGGGCCAAGAGCGUCCUAAAAGAAGAACGGUAUUUCAGCACCAUGGUUAUACCCGAAGCCAAAUCCAAGACCGCGGGCGCAAACUUCACCGCAAAAAAUGAGCCAUGGGUACUGGCUUCCCAAGUGGACCCGCCAAAGCCCAAUCGUGUUGUCGUGAGGAGAGGCAAAAGGAAGAUCAUCGGAAUGGAUGGAGUAGCCAAUGAGCAAGACUUUGACAAGUACGGCGACUCAAAGAUCGAACAUGACGACGACGAUGAAGUAGCAGCACACACCACAAGAAGAAGCAGGACCACCCUACCUAAAGGACGUCCAUUCCACAGAAGAACUCCAUUUGCGAAAAAGAAGGGCAAGAAUAUUGUGAACAGAUAGCGAGCUAAGAUCGAUUGUAUUUAAAUCGUAGUCUUCAUUUCUCGAUUGUAUUUCAUGGGCACUUUUUGAUAUCAUGAAUAUUUUUAAAUUUCAUGGGCACUUUUUGAAUUCAUGAGGACACUUGAUCUCGAUCCCCCUCCAUCUCGAUCUCGAUUCCCCCUCCAUCUCGAUCUUGAUCCCCCUCCAUCUCGAUCCCACCCGCACCAUCCCCCGCUAGCUCCACCGAUGCCGACGACCCACCGCAACCCUCCCCCGCUCCACCGCCGCCGACGAGCACCCGGCCCCCCGCACCCUCUCCCGCUCCACCGCCGCCGCCGAUGAUAUUUUCAAGUAACUAAUUGGAACAUAUUUUUUUAAAAAUUAUUACUGUUUUUAUAAAAAAAAUAUUACUGUUAUGAUUUUAACAAGUUUGAACAUAUUUAAACACAAAUAAAUAUAAAAAUCAGCAUUUAAAAUGCAUAAAAAAAUAUUGGGGAGCCUGGGAAUCGAACCCAAGACCUCCUGGUGUCUGUGCUGCGUGCUGACCAGUCGGGCUAGUGGGUGGGUUCGAUUGUAGAUAGGGUUAGGUUGUAGAUAGGGCUAGUGGGAUAGAUUAGAACAAAAUUCUAAUGGCACACCGAGCGCUGGUGCGCCAUUAGAAUAGUCGUACUUAUGGCGCACGAGAUGGUGGUGCGCCAUUAGAAUAGUCGUACACUAACUAAAUCCCCAAUCUCUCUAUUCUCUCCNNNNNNNNNNNNNNNNNNNNNNNNNNNNNNNNNNNNNNNNNNNNNNNNNNNNNNNNNNNNNNNNNNNNNNNNNNNNNNNNNNNNNNNNNNNNNNNNNNNNNNNNNNNNNNNNNNNNNNNNNNNNNNNNNNNNNNNNNNNNNNNNNNNNNNNNNNNNNNNNNNNNNNNNNNNNNNNNNNNNNNNNNNNNNNNNNNNNNNNNNNNNNNNNNNNNNNNNNNNNNNNNNNNNNNNNNNNNNNNNNNNNNNNNNNNNNNNNNNNNNNNNNNNNNNNNNNNNNNNNNNNCCCGCCGCCCCCGCGCCCCCCGAACGGGAUCGGCCGAGCGCACGCGCUAGGGUUCCUCACCCCGCCGCCCGCUCCUAUCAUCUCCUCCUCCCUUCGACGAGUGAGGGCCUCCUCCGGCCCCUGCAGCAGCCGGCAAGCGCGGCCCCGACGCGCCCACCCCGCCUUCCCCUGCCGUCCUCCGCCACCGGUCACCUCCGCAGCAGCCGGCGAGCCAAGGACGGUGCCGUGACCCUCGCCACCAACCCUGAGCUCCCCUGCUUCCUCUCUGCGCUGUCCAAGGUGAGCUUCCCUGCCCCUUCUCCCUCUCUCUCCAUGUCCUAGACAUCAAGAUCAAGAGAAUUAUGCUUUUAAUUAAAAUUAUGCUUUGAACAGUAGAUACAAAAAACAGAGUAUGGACCACUCAUCCAAUAUUUUAAGUGUUCUGAUUCAUAAGUAAAUCGCAUUAAUUCAUUCAGUGUAGGGGAAACUUAGAAGAGAAUUCAACAUCCUUGGUCUGUUUUAUAGUCAAUUCAUAAAAUAAAUUGCCUUCAAUAUUUUCCCUCAAGCAAUGUUAAGCACCAACAUAUACUCCAAGUUUAAUGUUUGACACAAAUUCAGUUUAAUGUUUGACACAACUGUCCAGUACCAAAGACUUAGGAGUAUUGCAAAAUAUUAAGAUAAUGGUAACUGGCUUUUCUUCUUUUCAACAACACGCGGGUUGAUGGUUUGAUAGGCUCCUAACGGUUCAUGUAUCAUCACUUACUGACAUCCCAAACAUAUGCAGAAAUAUGCCUCUAUGGCCUAGACCUACAACUAUCUCCUGCUAUGGAUGUUUGCUGAACCGAAUAAAUUAAUGCAAUAUGUGCUGAACAAUUUUACAACAUGUCCUUGUACAAGCUUGUUGUGACACUUUUUUUUGUCCUAAGUUCCAAUUUUACAGAGAGAUGCCUCCUAGAGUCACUAAAGUUCAUUCUUCUAGAGCUCAUGAUAAUAAUAGUCAUGUUGGGACUCGUGUAAGGAAGUAACAAAAACAUACUGCUCUUUAGUUCACUGUUUUCUUCUUUCUUCUGUUUUUACCUACUACCUGAAUGUAAUGGCUAUAAAGCCCCCUUUCUCAUUUCAUUUGAACCAUGUUGUUGAACUGGGUUAAACCCUAGCCGCCAGAGGCAUGCUUUACCCUAUGCGCUCCCUUCCAAGUAAUAAAAACCCUAAAGCCAAGUGCAUGUUCCACUUAAAGUUCUCUGAAUGUUUAGUUUCAGUCUUUGGAAUAGUUGUGUUCUUGACAUAACUGCAUUUUGAAAAUUUGUCAGAUGUAGUUGUGGGCACAGAGUGGUAGUUAAUUUAGACAUUUUUUUAUAUAAGUUUCAUUCUGGUACAAGGCAAGAUUCAGUCUAGGGAUUUUGUUUUUGUUUUUGUGGUUCAAUGCUGUCAUUGUCCUAGCCCAUGCUUGAUGUUUAUGGUCUUUGAGAAUGUAGUUGGAUAUUGAUGUAGUACUGAUGCCCCUGGCUUGGGCUCGUGGUUCAGUUCUGUAGGACCGAUGCCCCUAGCUUAGGCUUGUGGUCUUUGAGAAUGUAGUUGGAUAUUGAUGUUUUUUGAGAAACACAGUACCAACAUGUCCAUAAUGAUUUUGGCAGUAGUGUGAGGCAGCAGCGUGCAGAGCAAUUCCUUCGUUGGAUAAUGAUUUUGCAGGUACCCCGGGAGGCCCUUGAGUUUGCCGGAAUGUCGAUUAACUUCCGUUCCGGCAAAUUCGGGUACUCCAUAUGUCCUAUUUUCAGCAAAGGUCAUGCUGAAAUUUUCUGUGAAUUUUAGCAUGACUUUGCUAAAAAUAGGACAUAUGGGGUACUUGAGACUAAUGCAUGGGCCGGUGUAUCUUAGUACUUAGUUAAGUAGGAUCAACUGCCCCUUUAUUCUUGCUGCAUUAAACCAUAGGUGGCAAUAGAGCCAAGUGAUUAGGCCCAACUUAGAAUUCUCCUUAGCAUCAAUAAACCCUAGAUGAUAAACCCAACAUAGGUGGCAAUAGAGCCAAGUGAUUAGUGCCAAGUGAUUAGGCCCAACCUAGGAUGCCUCGGUGUCGACAAACCCUAAAUGAUGAAACCUUGGCUUCUAUAGGGUGCCUCGGUGUCGAUGAGAACCUAAAUGAUGUACGCUUAGGCUUUUAGGGUGCCUCGGCGUCGACAAACCCUAAAUGAUAAAAGCUUACCUUUUAGGAUGCCUCGGUGUCGACAAACCCUAAAUGAUGACACCAUGAUCUUGUUCCUUGACAAUAACCAACUUUUUGACAAAACUUUUUUCCUAUUUAGAGCGAAACAUGGCCCACAACGAUGAGGUCGGUCGUUCGGGCGGCAAGCAAUUCUGGGAGCUAUCCCAGGAGAUGGAGGAACAACCUCACCGCUAUGAGGAUGCCGCGGAAGACACCAAUCCUGAUUACACAACCCCUAGUGGCGUCGGGGAUGACACCACUGAUGGUGCCGUCGAGGAUGCCACCACUGAUGAUGGCGGCGCAUACACAGAUGGCAGCCAACCGAAGAAGCAAAGGAAGGACCAGCGUCCGAAUGCGCUCCACACCCUCAAGGAGGAAUUCACUCAAGUGGACUCCGACGGGAAUCCAACGGAGCCCAAACAUAUAGUCAAGGGGUACUCGGUUCAGCUCUGGUGCAUUCUCCGGAGCACCAUCUCGAUCAACACCGAGAACCUUAGGCAUAAGGACCGAGGGAAUUUGCGCAACCUCCUCUUCACGAAGCUGCACGAAUGAUACAAGUUCCCCGCCGAAUUUGAAAACACAUGCCUCUCAGGGAAUAAAGUGAAUAGUGCCACCCUCGUGAAGAUGAGCACGGCCCUGUCUACUUGGAGAAGCGCAGUGAAGAGAAUGAUUGAUAAAGGUGAUACUUAUGAGAAGAUCAAGGCGAAAUAUCCUUUGAUGAGCGAAGAUGAGUACAAGGAGUUCAAGAUCAAGUGCGAGAGCAGCACAACCUCCAAAUCAAGUCAGUGGGGGAAAGAAAUGCGGGAGUUGAACUUAGGGGAACACAUACUCGGUCCCGACGGUUACAGAGUGGCGGAGCCUAUAUGGGACAAGGAGGACGCGGAGCGUGCCGAGCAAUGGCUUGUCCACAAAAUGGGGGGCAUACUAUACCGCUGGUGUGCGGAAGGAGAAAAAGUCCAGCUCGGAAGGCCAGACGCGCGAGGUUGAAGCACUCAAGGCACAAGUGGCGCGGAUUCCAGAGCUUGUCCAAGAGCAAGUGGAACAACAACUGGAAACGAAGCUCAACGCCAUGGUGCCUACGUUGAUUCAUGGGCUGAUGACAUGGAUUGCGGGCGGCCAACAGGGGCCUCCCCCGGUUCCCAGCUUCACGGCCAGCAACUCGCACAGUGCGCAGGCGGCGCCAUUGGUGUCUCCGGCGGCGGCGCCAUUGGUGUCUCUGGCGGAGGUGGUAUUCGUGUCUCCGGCGCCGGCACGGGCAUUGGAGCUUAAUGCACCGGGGUGUACGCCGGCCGGCACCUCGCCAGCAAGCUCCCCCUCCGUCAGUUGCACGCCCGCCGUUGGCGGUGCCUCGACAUUAGCCGAGCUCGACGGCAUCAUGGUAACUAAGCCUCUCGGCCGAUGACUUCAUCUCCUUGCCUUUGACUGGGCAUCCCUGACGCCCUGUACAUGUUUUCGCAGGGCGCCGCCGAUGUUCCUUGCACUCUUCUGCACUUCGUGGGCGCCGACUUGGUCAAUGUCACCAAGGGCAGAAUCGUUCAACCGGGCAACCGCAUGUUCCACGGUAAUCCGAUGGCACCCACAAUGUAUAGGGUUGAAGUGGUUCGGGUGCUGCCAGGCUGCGACGAGCUGUUACCUCCGAUUCGACCCGCUGGGGCCGAUGAAGAAGAUGAGAUGACCCUCAGCGCCUGCGUAAACUGGCCCCUGCUUUGGCCGAAGAGCCAUAUUCAUUUGGGGGCGGGGGACACCACCCCACAGACAAGACCGCCAGUCGUGCCGGCGCCAAGCCAUGGCAAGAACGCCGCAACGCUACCGGACCUGCCGGACAUCCCUGUGUCGGACAUCCCUAUGGCACAGGAUACGGACAUCCCUAUGGCACAGGAUCCGGACGACGACGACAACGAUGACGGUACAUGUACCAAAGUCGAUACGUACUUUGCCGAACAUGGGUACGCUGACGAGUUCUGCGGGCCUCUUUGUCAAGAACCCAACCAAGACGACCGCAAUCUAGCCGGUACGGCGGAGAAAUCCAAUUGCAAUAGGCGUCGUCUAGCGUUCAGUUCUCAGGACACGCCUCUAGCUCCCGCCUUCACCGAGCCUCAGAUAGCUGAGGUGCGAAAUAUUAUCAGCCCCAACACGCUCAAGAAGGCGGUCUGUGAGCAGAACUCGUUCCCAUUACAGGAGAUCAAGAAGAAGGGACGGAAGCGAAAGACUAACAAGGGUGCCGGUGCGAGCUAGCCGGCAUCGAGUUCGAUCCGUGCUCAGGACGGACCACCUUCACCUAUGGAUAUCUCAAGGAGGGUGCAUGUGGCGAUGCUACCGCCAAAUAUGCUGAAUGCUGCAACCGGUGCUAUGCGGAGUAUGCAUGACAGUGUUCUUUCUUUGGAGAAGCGGCGUCUUAGAGAGAAUGAUGUGGCAUACUCGGUUUUCGUGGCCAAGGUGCCAGAGGGCAUGGGCUUUGUGGAUGGCGACAUCGGGGGUACGAUCGUCUUGCGGUUUGAUGACAUCUUUGCUAUGUUUAACCUUCAUCCACUGCACUACACCUUCGUUUGGCUGUUUUCGCUGACUAUGGAGAUGCGGAUCAUUAGAGACAAGACCCCAGACAUCGUGAUAGUCGACCCCUUCUACAUGCGUGCCAAGCACUUGAGCAGCACUGGGGACCGCCAAGUUGCGAGUUCACACCUUGAAGGCGUCAUUCUGGCAAACCCAGAUAAGGAUAACUUCCUUGUGGCUUACUUUCCCGAGUAAGUCAUCCCUUAACCGCCCCGUAACAUAUGAUUUCUUAGAUUUCGAUCGUUCUUUUUUUUCCAACAUUCCAUCUUCUGUGCAGUGACACACAUUGCACACUCAUCCUCUUAAGCCCGAAAUAUUCCAUGGCCACGUAUUUCGCCCCGAACCGUAACUCCAAGAUAGACUACACAAAUGUCAAGAAAGUUCUUGAUGAUGUUCUCCCUGGCUACGCCAAAUCUGGAGGCACCUUCACCAGGGCAGUUCGUAAGUACGGCAAGCACACCUUCUCACACAAUAUGAAUUUCUGCUGCGUCAAGCAGCCGCCUGGCGGUCAGAAGGAUGCCUACUACGCCCUCCAUCACAUGCAGGCGAUCGUAAGGGACCAUCAUCAACUUCUGCUACCACGUAGUCUCAAAGAUUGGGCCGCGAGGUUGUCGGCAAACCAGGACGCGGACCUCAGACAAGAAUUCUUUCGCAUCCAGUGGGAGUUUGCGGACAUCAUCCAUCAAGAUGUCCUUCAUACCUCGG